rnacentral:rRNA from 1 species
GACGAACGCUGGCGGCGUGCUUAAUACAUGCAAGUAGAGCGCAGUUGCGAACGGGUGAGUGACGCGUAGGUAACUGCUUUAAAGCGGGGGAAAACUAUUGGAAACGGUAGCAUAUACCCCAUACUGUGGGAUGGACCUGCGUUGGAUUAGGUAGUUGGUGAGGUAAAGGCUCACCAAGGCCACGAUACAUAGCCGUCCUGAGAUGUCGAGCGGCCCAACUGGGACGUGGACACGUCCCAGACUUCUUCGGGAGGCCGCCGGAGGCAAGCGUCGGAAAUGGACGGAAGUCUGACCGAGCAACGCCGCGUGAGUGAAGGAGGUUUUGGGAUCGUAAAGCUCUGGUGUUAGAGAAGCGGUAUUUAACCAGAAAGUGACGGCUAACUACGUGCCAGCAGCCGCGGUAAUAC